UUCAGCAAUAAACCCUCUGCAACACUAUUUAUUGACGUUUAGUUGAUCAUAACCUUUUAACGUGUGUUUAAUUUACCGAAAGAGUUGGUCAGCUGUUCGGCUUUUGGACUUUGGUAACUACGUUUGUAUGACGGUAAGGUGCAAACAUUUCUGGUCGAUGAUGUGAGGCGUUUUUGAAAUAAAAACAGUAUUAUUUUAUUUUUUUGAAACGAAAGAACAUUGAUCAGAAUAUGCUUGAUCAUGAAAUGGUUGUUUAUAACCGAUAUUUGUUAACAUUCUGACAAACAACGUAGUAACCGAGACACCGUUUCCCAGUUUAUCACGAGGAACAUCCGGUGUUAAACUUCAACGUUUCUUGGUUUAAAUUGUGGAAUUGCAAGUGGUGCUGAACCAUGUAGCCAAGAUGUGCACUACCACUACUCAUGGGAUUUUGCCCAGCAAGUCCACUAUCCACAUCAUGCCAACAAGUUGGGCCGAUAUAUUUCGCCACCCCACAGAAGUGUCAUGUGUUUCGCAUGUGUGCCUUAGGUUCAGCUAUGUUUUUAUGGAAAGUAGACAUUUUAUCUGGUGGACGAGGCCGAAUUGCCGGGGAAAGGAAGUGACAGUGUCGUGAGCCUGGCCCACCACUACUUUCAGCACUAUGGUGUCGGUGAAAAA